rfam:Tetragenococcus muriaticus 3MR10-3 WGS_Sequence293_264, whole genome shotgun sequence.
GCGGAAAUAGCUCAGCGGUAGAGCACCACCUUGCCAAGGUGGGGGUCGCGGGUUCGAAUCCCGUUUUCCGCU